rnacentral:rRNA from 1 species
GACGAACGCUGGCGGCGUGCUUAACACAUGCAAGUCGAGCGGAAAGGCCCUUCGGGGUACUCGAGCGGCGAACGGGUGAGUAACACGUGAGUAAUCUGCCCUUGGCUUUGGGAUAGCUGCCGGAAACGGUGGCUAAUACCGGAUACGACAACCGUCUGCAUGGGCUGGUUGUGGAAAGUUUUUUCGGCCAGGGAUGUGCUCGCGGCCUAUCAGCUUGUUGGUGGGGUAAUGGCCUACCAAGGCUUCGACGGGUAGCCGGCCUGAGAGGGUGACCGGCCACACUGGGACUGAGACACGGCCCAGACUCCUACGGGAGGCAGCAGUGGGGAAUAUUGGAUAAUGGGCGGAAGCCUGAUCCAGCAACGCCGCGUGAGGGAUGACGGCCUUCGGGUUGUAAACCUCUUUCAGUACCGACGAAGCGCCGAUGAUGGUGGUGACGGUAGGUACAGAAGAAGCACCGGCCAACUACGUG